UGGAGUUGGAGGGCUUGUGGUGUCAGGUUCUACAUCUGGGAGGCGUAGCUUUACUGUUCCGUCCCUUGUAGAAUUCUCUACUGGGUCUCUGGAGUAAGCCUCCCUCAACCAAGAUCACAGACUGCCUUUCACAGUCCAACAGGGGUGAAGCCUGUGCGUGGGAGCCCCGAGAUUUGGAUUGUAAAUUGAGGAGCCUUCUAGAACCGAUGACUUCGCCCUACCUCUUCCUUCCAGAGUCUCUACAGCAUAUUCUUUCUGUAUAGUGUUUACUUUUCUGCCACCUCUCCAGCUUCUGCUUCAACACCACCGCCUGGUUGUUUCCUAUGCAUCCACUCAGUCCCCAGACUACCCCAGCCUUAAAGUCCAUCUAGUUCUCUAGUGGUACUUCUUAAUCAGUAGGAGAAUGACCCCUAUUGACUCAGCCUGAAAUGGGUGCCUGACUUGUGUCAAAUCCAUUUCAAUGAGUGUGCUGGAGUGGUGACACUAAAUAAAUACAUUGCUUUGCAGUGUCUUCAAGAAUAGCACUGCUAAAGAACAGGGGCUAGGCCGGCCGAGGUUCUACCUCCAUAUGCGUAGGUAGAUAGGAGCGCAUGCUUAGCUGUGGCUUAGAGAUGUGCGUAAAGUGGCUUAAAGAUGACAUCAUCAUUGGUGGAAACACGCUGACAUAAAGUAGUUGGCUUCAAUGGCUACUGAGCUUGGACAUCAGUACUCUUAUGGAUCCCACGUUCCCUUCAGAGACCCUGAUGGAGAGGACAGAGAACAGGAAUCUGCCCCUGAGAAGCCAAAUCUGAUGAAGUGAGCUCCUAUCACUUUUUGAGAAGCACCUGGACAUGUGUUCAGGGUAACCAGUGGUCCGUGUUGAAGGUUUUUCUUCACAGCAGCAUUUAUGGCGGCGAAGGACAUGUGACUGCCUCACACUGGCUGGAGAAGGUCCAACAGUGAGAACGGACUCUUCCCCAUUCUGUCUGGAUAGGACUUAGACACACUGGAGCCAACACUUCAGGAACUGAUUCAAAGAACCCCCCAAGUGUUUCCAUCUCACGUUUCCUGUCGGAAAAAGGAAAGGUAAUUAUGAAAUAACGUGGUCAUGUUAAUAAUACAAUCCCAAUCAGCAUGAGCGAAAUACGCCAGAGUUGAUUACAUUAUCGAGCCCCGAGGCUUCAUCGGGAGCUGUCAGAGGGACAUGAAAGGAGCCUCCGUCGAUGUUUCUUCUGUUUCUUCCAGCCGGAUUCCAGAAGCAUGCCGUCCAACGUACGACCACGACCUUUCUUUCCCCAGCAGUCAGCAAGCCUUUCCACUGUUCACUAACUCAGGAUCUACAACUCUUCAUUCCUGAAGCAUUAAACCCCUGCCUCAGAGCCUGGAUCUGGCUGCCACGUCACAUUCUUCAAUCUCCUUAUUCCUAAGCCAAACAAAGCUGUCAUUAAAUUGUACUACUAAUAUUUUUGUUUGUUCUGUUUUUGAGACAGGGUUUCUCUUCAUAUAUUCCUGGCUGUCCUGGAACUUGCUCUGUAGACCAGGCUGGCCUUGAACUCACAGAGAUCCACCUGUCUCUGCCUCCUGAGUGCUGGGAUUAAAAGUGUGCACUACCACUGCACAGCUGAUAUGUUUUUAUUAAUAACAGAACUAGUUUGUAAAGUAUGAUGGUUUUAGCAACUUUUAUUUUCCAUCUAAAAUCAGAUUUUAAAACUUCUUUUCCUUUCUUUAGUUUUUAUUCCUUCUCCUUUGACAUAUAUUUUUGUUAUGGAAAGUCCUAACAUUUAAAAUUUUAGUGGUUGCUGUUGCAGUUUGUUAGAGUUCUUACCGCCUCCUACUUGGGUUCUUCAGUAAUGGCUGGAAACCUGUGACCUGCUGACAGGAAUGGACUGAAGGGACAGAAGAGCCACAGUGGACAAUAGAGAAAUACCCCGACCGGCAAUACUCCAUGUGGCAGCCAGGGGGCACUCCAGAGCCAUCUCUCUCUCUCUCUCUCUCUCUCUCUCUCUCUCUCUCUCUCUCUCUGAGACCAUGUGGCAACCACACCUCUCUAUCUGAAACCAUGUGGGCACCACACCUGGCUGGCACUUCCCUCAAUAUUUUGAAGGAGAUACUAAAAAACGUGUCAUGUAAUAAAAACUUAGACAAUCACUCAAA